GGCGAACGCUGGCGGCAGGCCUAAUACAUGCAAGUCGAGCGGCCGUAGCAAUACGGCAGCGGCAGACGGGAGAGUAACACGUGGGAACGUACCUUUCGGUUCGGAACAACCCAGGGAAACUCGGGCUAAUACCGGAUACGUCCGUAAGGAGAAAGAUUUAUCGCCGAAAGGUCGGCCCGCGUCUGAUUAGCUUGUUGGUGAGGUAACGGCUCACCAAGGCGACGAUCAGUAGCUGGUCUGAGAGGAUAAUCAGCCUCACUGGGACUGAGACACGGCCCAGACUCCUACGGGAGGCAGCAGUAGGGAAUAUUGGACAAUGGGCGCAAGCCUGAUCCAGCCAUGCCGCGUGAGUGAUGAAGGCCCUAGGGUUGUAAAGCUCUUUCGGCGGGGAAGAUAAUGACGGUACCCGCAGAAGAAGCCCCGGCUAACUUCGUGCCAGCCGCCGCCGUAA
rnacentral:rRNA from 1 species